UCUAUUUCCAAGGAUAUGUUCAGGGUAUAUAAGAAAGUUCCUAAACAGUUAUAAUUGCUAGCCUUCUCUUCUUCUCCAUUUGGAUGACAUAAUAUUUGAAGACCUGGAGGGAGAGCAGGGGCAGGGCAGCUUUUAUACUGACACCAUGAACCACAGAACCUGAGCACGGAGUAUGCCCUCGCUCUCUAGCAAUACUGGGCAGAGCUCAACCACGGAACGAACCUCGCCAUUUCCCCAGUGAAUAUGUCUGUCUUUGGGGCUCAAGGGAGCACAUUGGCCCAACUGCAGCAUGCUUUGGGAUACAGCACUCAUGGUAAGGCAUCCUUCUGAGAAACAGCUUUUCGGUGAGCACUGCAUGCUGUCAUGAAAGUCACCUUACAGCUUGGACUGUCCUUCCUCCGAGACAGCCUCCCUCCUGGGGCACCAGGGCUGCCCAGGUCAUGGUAGGCUACAGAGAGCGGGGACAAGGGAAUAAGCACCGGCGCCGCCAUGGGGGACCAAGGGGCGGAGAGAGACGAGCCUGAGUCCCCAACAAUGGUUUCUGAUUUGCCAGCUGGUUACAAACCAUGGCUUGUUUAUUCAGUCAUUGUGUCAACCUAUUGUUAAACUUCAUUAACCAUUGUUUGGUGUAGUAUCUGAAUUGAGUGAUUAGCCAAUGCUUCUUACCAGAAAAGAAAAUCUGCAUGUGAGAACAGCCUUUUGCACAAGGUGUAGUUCUACUAAGAGCAGAGAUGGGAGUGAACAGCUAACAGCAACUGGUGCUUGUCUUUCUCCCCCUCACCAUCCUAUAGUUGGUCCUGCUAACUUCUGCAUAGUAUAUGAUUGUUACCUUGAAAAGAUAGACAUAAUAUAAAGAUGAAAUCAAUUAUCUUGCCUGUACGUAAUUAACUUUGAUAUUUUCAUUCAUGAAAUUUUUGUAGGGUAGAGCAUGAGAAGCAAUGCAGCCUAGGCACUGUUACCGUAUUUUUCCGUGUAUAAGACGAGCUUUUUUGACCCAAAAAUGAGUUUUAAAAUUUAGGGUCGUCUUAUACAUGGGUAGUGCUGAGGGGGGAUGGGCGAAUGGUUUUUUGGUGCGAGCCCGAGACUGUAAGCGGAGAUUGGCUGCUUGAUUGUGGGGGGUGGAAUGCCGAAAAUCACUCACCCGCCAGAACGCAGCACACAACCGCUUGUGUCGCAGCUGCCUGAUCGCUGCCGUUAGCCCUUUCGAUUCUACUGCGGCAGCCAACAGACAGCUGCCCUAGUUGCAGCAAGCGGGAGUGUGAUUGGUGGCCGCUGGCAGUUAUCAGGCAGCUGAUAGGUGGUUUCUACAAUGUGAGCUGGAGAUUUUAAGCGGCAAUUUGCCGCUUGAUUGUUGGGGGGGGGGAUGCUGAAAAUUGCUCACCCGCUGGAAUGAAGCACGAGCCCGAGAUUGUAAGCGGCAAUUGUAAGCGAUGCGAGCGGUUGUGUGCUGUGUUCUGGCGGGUGAGCAGUUUUCGGCAUUCCCUCCAAAUAAUCCUUCCCCAAAGCUCAAUCCCCCUAUUUUCUAAAUUUUGAGGCCCCCAGAAUAGUCUUAUACAUGGGGGCGUCCUAUAGACUGAAAAGUACAGUAUGUUUCAUGAAACAUAACACCUGAGCAAAACAAAUUCAAGUUAGCUCAGGAUUCCCUUAAAAAAAAAAAAACCAAUUAUGUGAUAAAAAGUUUAAUUCUAAACCAGCCACUGUUUAUCAAAAGUAAUAAUUUUCCUUUAGAAAUUAUGCAGGUAGUUUUUUUUCUGUUGAAUUUGCCUGCCAUCAUCAAUACUUUAAAGUUAGCCUUGGCAGGCAUACACCCUGCGAUGUCACAGUGGAAAAAGUCUGUUGAUCUCACCAGAAACAUACAGAAAGAGGCUGUGUUUCUCCCUCCUAAUGUUUCUACAGUAAAUUGCCUCUGAGAUAUGUUCCAGGGGAAUACGAAAUUUGUCUGCAGUGGAGGGACGUUCAGAGUUCUGCUAGCAGAGGACUGUUAUCAAGAAUAAAUAAAACUUCUUUUUAUUCCCCUCACCUCUCUGGUACAGUUGAAGGACCAGAAAGUUUUUAAAAGACUAGCAGUCCAUGAACAGGGCCCUUUCUGGCAAUAUCAGAACUUUGGACACAGUUCUUACCUAUUUUUUUCUCUCUUCGCAUAUUCAAAACAAAGGAGGUUUAAAAAACCACAAUUUUCCUUUCUGUAAUCAAACAACCAUGUACACACAGCAGGCAGGCAAGGCAAUGCAGCUAUUCCUAGGAUAAAAAAAGUAGAAGAUGCAGAAUCCUGCAUUGGGUCAAGAGAGAGGGUGUUGAGCUUUCAUGAUGAUAUGUGUUCAUGAUGAUAUCACGGAGGUUAUACACAACCCCACUUGAUUAUCCAGAAUCUGUGCUACUUUAUGAUUCCAUUUCAAGCCAUCCCUCCACACACACAAACACUGUUUUUCAGCAUGAUGCAUCAUAUUUAUUGGUGGAUAUCAAUUCACUUCAUUUGUGCUCCACUUUUCAUCCAAGUUGGACUCCCAAAGUAAAUUAAAAUCCACAGAAAGGUAUGCAUUAUUAGGAAAAUGUGGAGGUCCUUAUGGUCUCUAUAACUGAUGAAAUAGACUGAGUUCCAGGCUCUUCCUUCUAGAAUAGCCUUCACGAACCUGGUGCUUUCCAGAUGUUUUGGGCUACAAUUCCCAUCAGCCUGCUCAGCCAGCACAGGUUGGCAAAGGCUACUUUAGGAGCCGAAAGAAGGAACUACAAACAGAUGUAAGUGGGCUGGCUGAAAGUACAGAUGCCAACCCACUGAAGCAGGAUAUGAGGUAGGGAUGGAAAUAAUUGUAUAGUGCUAUUUUAGAGAGAUUUUUUUAAAAAUGCAAUUUUGGGAGAAGAAAGUGCAUACGUAUAGAAAAUGGGGAACAAGAAAUUAAAUAGCCAAAUAAUUUGAGAGAGCUGUUCUGAAUGGAUGCUGUGCUCGUCUGAAAUGGCAAACCCCAUAUACAUGGUGCCUGGGGGAGAUUUAUGCAGCCAAACGUAACUGUGCUUUAUUGCGAGUAAGAAAAGGGUUAAGGACCACAGAAUUAUUAAUAGAAAGAGAAGACUCAGGUUGGUCAUGAUAACCCCUAACCUUUAGGGAGGGAGGAAACAAGGGUUGUUUCCUAUUCCUCCCUCCCAGUCUCUCUCUCUCUCCCUCUUCUCCUUUUUGAACCGUGUAAUUGAGCAGAUGUCUGAGGCUAUAACCAAGAAUACCUUGCCUGUGUUGUCUCUGCUGUUGCCUAGAGUGAUGCAUGAGUGAGACCUCUGACUAUUGGGCAGGCAGAAGAGAUCUCAUUACUCCGUUGCUAUCACAGCUACUCAGAGGCUUUUAACAACCCAUGAUAUGGUUGCGGAGAAACUGGUAAAAUGUGGGCUGGGUGAGGUAACUGCUAGGUGGGUUUGUAGCUGAUUGACAGACCCAACCCAAAGGAUGCUUGCUAAUGGUUCUUCAUUGCUGUUCAAUGAAUGUCUCUUUAAACAGCUUGGAUGAAGGAAUCGAGGGGAUGCUAAAGUUCUGGUUUGCAUUUGAACCCCUCCGGCAAAAUCCUCACAGUCUGUGGGUGGCCAUACGCUACCCAGAUAUGCAGAAUGUGGACAAGUCUUUUCAGUUUAUUGCUGAUUUUAAUCUUUUUGAUUUUUUUUAUACCAGUGUUAUUGUUUUACUCCUAUUGUCAAACUUUAGAGUUUUUUGUUUGUUUGUUUACAGUCGAGCAAUGUAUAAAUAAACCAGAGAUAAAUGAAAUAUUCUGUACUUUCCUACCAAUAGGACUAUUAAUGUUUUAAUAAGGCGGCAGUCUGUAGUCUGUAAGUGCAACUCCUUCCAGGCUGGUUGCUUUCCUGCUCCAAAUUGCACCCCACCCCCAGCUCCCAGCUGCUUUUCCUGACACAAGGUUCUACUCUGGAGGCGAGAAAUGUUAAUUGAGUGUUUCACAACUGAAAUAAUACACAGGUCCCCGCUCCCUCCACUGUCUAAAGGUCUCCACUUUCCCUACUGUAAGACCAUUAAGUCCAGGGUCUAAAAUUACAUAGUAGGGCAAAGAGAAGCUUUGAAAAAGGUGGAUUAAAUUGGGAUAUGGCACAGGGGGGUGAGGGUGGAGAGAAUUAAAUACCGCCUUCUAUAGCACCGCAGUUCCCCUCCCCCAGCUGCUUUUAACUGGAACAGCAAGGACCACGAGCAGCCCUGAUGAUGGACCUUCCUCAUCUAUGUCUAGAUUAACAGAACACACUUUCAUUAGUCAGACCAGAGAAUUACUGGCAGGCCUACUAGCAAGGAUUUUUCAUGCUCUGAAAAUGCAGAAGGAAAAGAGGGCAAGACGAAAAUGCCAGUAAAAUCACUGCAGAACUCCGCUUUCCUCCCUGAGCUCAGAGUUUCAGAAAAACACUAUGGGCGCUCCAGAUAAAACAUGUAAUCCACUCUAAUCACUGUGCAAAUGUUUGCAUUCAGCUAUUUUUGUUCAGCCUCCUUUCCUCUUGCUGUAUUAAGACUAGAGCAAUGUUAAAUUCAAGAAUACCACAUUUAAAUUCCUUGGUUUCUUCAGACCAUGACAUUUAUUGGUUUUGCAUUCCCUUAUUUCUUCUUUUGCAUCAGAACUCAGCAGCGCCCGAGAUACUUACCGGUGCUGAAUUUUCUCCUUCUUUUGCAACCUAUUCAGAGAUAACAGUACAUUUUCCCUUUCUUGUAGAUUUUCAGUAUUUAAUUUAUAUCUGCUUUGUCAGUUUAUGUCUCUGCCCCUAUCAUUUUAGUUGCCCGGUUUCUCCUUGGACUCCUUCCUGUGUGGUGUAACUGUUUUUUUCCAUCUUGUCAUUCUGCGGCUUUUUUAUGGCUUGCUUUUGUUGCACACUUUCUUUUAAAGGAAGGUUAUGAUUUUGCAUGGCAUUUCCAAAACCUUCCCUAACCUUUUUUAUAAUGAUCUGUGGAAACUAUUUGAGACAAUGGUAAUGAUGAGGAACACAAGGAUAGCCGAGGAAUAAUUUAUUUUUCUUUUAAUGUUGUGAAUUUAUUUUUAGACUCCUCUAUUGUAAAUCUAUUCUAGGCCAUUUCACACGCCACUGGUUUUUCUGUCCAACAUUAUAAAACUUACAAAGAGUUCUCUAAAAGAGGGCAAAUGAGUUCACUUCUUCGUCUGAGCAUGAUUAGACUGGAUGUCUCCAUGUAGUUUAAUUCUGAAUGGAAGCUGGCAAUUUCUAAAUAGUGGCGCAGUGAAGGGGACUCACUUGUUUUUACUUCUUUUUAAUCAAGUACAGUAGAUUUACAUCCUGAAGCAGCAGUUAAUGGGUUCAACAAAAUUUAUUAGCACAUGAUUACAUGCUUGUGAAGAGGGAGAUGUGUGUGGCCUUUUCCUUUAGGCUCAAAAUGGAAGUUACCUUAAAUGUCUAUUUGCUGCUGAAAACAGCCCCUGCAAAUUUAGUUCCCAGUCUUCUCACUGUAACACCUACAUAGGGGAAAAAUAUGUGGCAUGCCACCACCUUGUCAUUUAUCUCACCUCAUUCUGUAUUGUUGACUGUUCUGGAGCAGAUGGGACAUAGCAAUGCUCAACGUGAGGAUGUCAUAUUACAUUCUCUCCACAUAUGC